UAUUAUGUUCUUACGUAAGGCUUCAGAAUAAGCACRAGGGAGUACGGCUCUUUUGAGUAAUUUUCGGGUUGGGGUUGUGGGUCAGACCUAAAGUUAUUUUUCAUAUAUUCUUGCCUAUACCAUCUAAGGCUGAGUGAAAGAAUUUAAGGCUGAAUUAUAAAUUUUGGAUCCAUACCAUAGUUGACAAGUUGAAACUUCGGGGUUAGUUGGCUAGUUGGCACGUAACACUCGUCGGGUAUCUUUUCGGGUGUACAAACUGGAGUUUUUCGGCGUUUCCUGGUAUCUUUUAGGGUAUCGAACUGGAAAGGGAACAGAGAAGAAGGAAAAGAAGAAAAAGAAGAAAGAUAAACUAGAUGAGCUUAUGGCAAUGAUGCCUACAAUGACGGAGGCUGUAACCAAGGCGGCAAAGGCACAUGAAAAAGCCGUUUCAAAGUGGCAAGGGUUGUCGAUCUCUGACUCUGAUUAGCGAGUUGGAUGAUACUAUACAGUCAAUUCAAAAAAAGUUGUCGUCGACCAACUCAAGCCUACGCGACAGGACCGAAAGGAGCUCUGGGUAGC